GUGCCUCUGAAUAAUUUUCUCCAGUUUCUCGAGCCUGCUCAAGGCCUGCGACUGAUCAAGUGUUGCUGUGUUUGAUUGGCGUAAUAGCACCAUACCCCCCAGUUUACAAUGUGGAGAAGGCCACUUUGUGUGUGUGGCUUAUCGGCCUCUUGUCCUGGUCAGCCAUUGGUUGUAAAGUGGUUGGACCCUUGGAAGAACUGGGACAGCCUUGAUCUCCACUGUCAGCAGCAGAGCCGAGGGAGAGCUAAUGUCCCCAAGGCCACGGCGUGGGUUCUGCUCCUCUGCCUCUUACACACUGCUCCGUGCUCAAUUUUUAAGGAUCCAAAGGAAGUAGUCUGUGUAUUUGUGCAGCACCUGUAAUGGAAGUUCAACUUAAAGCAUGAAGCUGCAGAAGAAGCAAAACAUUACAUUUCCUUUUGA